rnacentral:lncRNA from 1 species
GUCAUCCUGUUCACAACUAAUUGAUUAUUAACUCACUUAUUUCUCUCCCUUUUAGGUACCACACCAUGACUGGCUACAUAUAUGUCUCAGCUCCAGUGUGCAAAGAGUAUCCUGAGGGGGCUUAAUGGACUCAUUAUUGAUAAGCCUCUGCAAGACAUUCCAAAGCAGUUUAACAUCGCCAGGCUGAGGUGAGAAAGCCCAAAUCACACCCAGGAAGGAGAUGCUCUGGGACCUGAGUCCAGUAUCAGCAGCCAACGCCUGCCACUGGGCCGGAUGGAAGCUCUGUGUGACAGCUUUACAAGGACACACUUCUCCUCACAAACCUCUGGUUGUUUCAAGUGAAAUUAAAGCCCUUAACAGAAG